AGUUAGAGUCCAUGAGAAAAACUGAAAAGAAGAUACUUUGAAGAAUGCAGGUAAUCAAAACCAACAGGUGCAGACAUGAAAGCUCCCAAG